AGCAGCCGCGGUAAUUCCAGCUCCAAUAGCGUAUAUUAAAGUUGUUGCAGUUAAAAAGCUCGUAGUUGAAUUUUGGAUUCUUCCAAUUGGUCCAUCUUUUAGAUGAGUACUGGUUGUGUGGGGUCUAUCCGCCUGGUGAUACGUAAUGUCCUUUAUUGGAUGUUUCGGGUAGUCAGGACCUUUACCUUGAAAAAAAUUAGAGUGUUUAAAGCAGGCUUAUGCCGGAAUACAUUAGCAUGGAAUAAUAGAAUAGGACGAAGUUGUUUUAUUUUGUUGGUUUCUAGGACAACCGUAAUGAUUAAUAGGGAUAGUUGGGGGCAUUAGUAUUCAAUUGUCAGAGGUGAAAUUCUUGGAUUUAUUGAAGACUAACUACUGCGAAAGCAUUUGCCAAGGAUGUUUUCAUUAAUCAAGAACGAAAGUUAGGGGAUCGAAGACGAUCAGAUACCGUCGUAGUCUUAACCAUAAACUAUGCCGACUAGGGAUCGGGCGAUGUUGUUUCCAUGACUCGCUCGGCACCUUA
rnacentral:misc_RNA from 1 species